GUGCUGAGUGUUGGUGGGACAGCUCAGCUUUUGGGGAUUCGCUUUCCAUAUUAGACUGCAGCCUGCUGGGCCAGCCAUGGAGGGAUGGCUCCAGCCUCCUCACGCUCUCUUCUAAAGAGUGAACACCUAGAGUUCAGGGUCGAACAUUAUUAAUUCAAUUACCGGAAGUUGAGAGACUGAAGGAUGAACAACAUAGUACUAAGAUUUUAUGAACUCAUUGUUCCAGCAAAACCCAAAUGAUUGCGCAAUCAGAAAUUCAUUCAUGUGAGGAAAAAGCAGUUAAAACUGAUGGAAAAAUGCCAAAGAAAGCGGCUGUCAGACUGAUUGCUUUUUGGCAGAGACUGAGAUCAAGAUUUACCAAGGAAAGGCCAUGUAAAUAUGACCCAAGAGGAAGUGACAGAGCUCAAGAGCAUUACUAAGCCUCGAAACUGGAAUUUCAGUUACCUUGCAAGGUAUCUGAGAAAAAAAAUUACAUAUAUGCAAACACAAUGUGGAUGAAUCACUGUGCUGAUGGAAUGGUGGUUACUAAAACAGCAUUACUCUGAUUUCUGAAGCAACAAGAGAAAAAAGACAACAGAGAGCAAGUAACUUACCUUUUUGGGACCCAAUCUUGAGCAAAUGUUAGUUCUGCCCUGGAUUCAGCUACCUAGGGCAGAACAAAAGGGAAAGUGAAAGGUCCUCUAGAUCAAGUGUUUCCCAGGAUGUAACUUAAAAGCAGCUGUCUUACCUGUCUGUUCUUUAGUCUCCAGUCUUGGCUCAAACUUUCUGGCACUGGAUUUAAAAGCAUCUUCAGAAUACCUGAGUGCUCACUUUUAGCCCCUUCCUUGAAUCAUUCUUUCUAUCCUUUCCUGAGCUCUUUGUGUAUGCGUCUGUUCCCUCAUUUGACUGUAAUCAGAUUGGAAGGCAGGCGCUGUGUCUUACUCAUCUUUGUAUUUUCUUUCCUCAACCCUUUUGUAUAACAGUGUUCUGCUUAUAUGUAAUACAUUUUUGUUUGUAAAAUAAAAAUAUGG